UCUGUACGCACCACACGGGAUCUGAGAUGUCAACCGCCUGAUCGGCGCCGCACGGCGGCCAGAGCCCAGAGAUGUCGUCGCCUGAUCGGCGAUAUUGAUUGCAGGUGACGAGUUAGCACAAUUGCAGGCCGGAUUCAGGGGCAGGUAUCGAUUCAGUUCGAAGCCACAACCCGAAUUUAGCUAUUGAAGGUAGCAGGAGCUCGAUUUUGUUCUCAUAUUGUGCAGCAGGCUACAGUAGAGAAGUACAAGACAAAGUGUAAAACAUGAAGAGGAAGAAUACUAGUACUACUGAUUUGAGAACUUUCUUGGAGAGAGUUGCUGCAAAAAAAGGGAGGUCUCUUCGGUAUGAGAUUGUUUACAAAUUUCUCAAAUUGGUGCUAGUUCAAUUAGCUGGUGGUGAGAGGGUCUUCUCAUCAAUGAACUAUAUAAAAAACAAGCUAAGAAGCAAGAUGGGGCAAAAAUACUUGAAUGAUUGCUUGGUCACAUUCAUUGAAAGGAGAUUUUUCUUGCAAGUUCAAGACAAGGACAUCAUCACUCAUUUUCAAAGCAUCAAGGAUCGCAAAGUUAUCCUCUAGUUUGUAAGGGUUCUUGUGAUUUCAUAUUUCUAUCCUCUAUAUAUCUUAGAUUUUGCCAUG